CUCAGAGUCAGACUGCCUCCCUCGUUCUCAAAAUUCUUCCAGCUCCCAGUGACUCACUGAAGAGUGUGGGCGCUCUGCUGCCUUUACUGAGCACCUGGGCUGGCUGGAGGUCUGGGAUUGCCUGGCUUCACAUCCCACAUGCCAGAGCUGUCUGCACCAUGUUGCUCCUCUACUUCUGGACACAGAAUCUUGUUUCCUGAGUGGCGUCAGAGGAUGAAUAAACCAGCACUUAUGGGUUAGCUCUCCAUGGAGUGGAAUUUGAGCAAUAAGAAACAGGAGGGAGGAUUUUCAAAAGGGCAUUUGGAGUCCAGCGUCUCCAUGUGGACUUCACCCAGUAACAAAAUAUCUUAUCAAUUUGAAGAUGAACGUUUUUCACGUUUUAACACCUCUGAAGUUGACAGAAUCUUACGGUUGCUGUUCUCCAGGUGGCAGCCAGGACGUAGCUGCUGUUGCCUGCCCUUGCACAAACCUAGAUGUUAGUCCUCAUUCAGGUUGUCUUUAAAUGAUUCGUUGACUGUGUAUGGAGGAGAGUUACAGUUGUCCGAUGUGCCUUUGGUGGACCUUUUGUGGACAUCCUUCAGUAAGAACAAUAAAGUGCCAGCAUCAAAACUUAUAGAAUGAGCAUCAGCACCUUGGAAGCAAAUCCCAGAGACAAUAUUGCAGCAGUCUUAAGAAUAUUACCAAAGCUCCUGAUAGCCCAGCUGACAAAGCAUGAAAAAUACUCUGAUCUCAACUCUCCGUUGAAAGUGAUUCAGAGGACCUGGGAAUGUUUCUAUAGGAAACAUUUUAAUGAUACCUCAACGAAUUUUUAAAAAUUUAAGUCAGAUUUAUUGAGGUAUAAUUUACAUACAGUAAAACUAACCCUUUUUAGAUAUACAGUUCUGUGAAUUGGUAAAAAUAUAUAUAAUGUUGUGUAUCCACCACCGAAAUCAAGAGAGUACAUUUUGAGUUUCCUCAUGCUUCUUUGUAGUUGAUCCCCAACCCAUACUCCCAGCCCUCAGGAACCACUGAUCUUUCUUUCUCUGCUGUUUCGGCUUUCCUGUAAUGUUGUGUAGCAUUUUGAUUCUGGUUUAUUUCACUUAGCAUAAUGUUCUUGCAUUUAUCAGUAGUUCCUUCCUUUUUACUGUUCAGUAGUAUUCCAUGGUGUGAUUAUACCAUAAUGUUUAUGCAUUCACAAUAGAACAUCUGGAUUGCUUCUAGUUUAUGGCAAUUACGGAUAAAGCUAUAAAAGUGCAGGGUUUUGUAUGGAUAUACAGUUCCACUUCUCAUGGGGAAACACUCAGGCGUAGGAUUGCUGGGUCAUAUGGUAAUUGUAUAUUUAACUUUAUAACACACUGCUGAACUGCUUUUCACAGUGUCUGCAGGGUUUGACAUUCCCACGCACCAUGAAAACUUGGAGCUACUCUGCAACCUCACCAGCGCUUGGCGUGAUCAGCUUUUUAAAAUUAUAGUCAUUGUAUCCAUUAUUAGUCAUAGCUCACCGUGGUGUCAAUGUGCAUUUCCUUAAUGAUGCGCAUCUUCUCAUGGGCUUAUUUCCUAUCUAUAUAUCUCCUUUGAUGAAAUGUCUGUUCAAAUCAUUUGUAAUUUGAUUAUGUUCUUCUUACGGAGCUAUGAAUCCUUUAUGUAUUCUAGGUGUCCUUUAUCAGAUAUGUGUUUUGUAAAUAUUAUCUCAGUCUGUGGACUGUCUUUUCAUUUUCUUGACAGUGUGUUUCAAAGAGCAGAUAUUUAAUUUUAAGAAGUCCAAUUUGUCAAUUUUUUUUUCCUUUAUGGCUCAUGCUUUCUGUGUUCUAGCUAAGAAAUCUUUGCCACAUCCAAGUUCACAAAGAUUUUCUCCUUUUUUCCUGUAGAAGUUUUAUGGUUUUAGUUUUUUUUUUUUUUUUUUUUGAUUCAUAGAUUGUUGUAGUUUUAUUCCAUAAAAAUGGUCAUGCGUUCAUUUCACCAAAAUUACUAAUUUGUAUUCUAGUAACAGGAGUGAGUAAUCUAAAAAGACUCAAGAAGUAAAAUAUGGUUUUCAUCAAAAAGAUAAACUAUAGUAAAUGUAAGCUUUUAAAAGUAUUUUUCAGGGGCACGCCCAGUGGUGUAGUGGUUGAGUUCAUGCUUUCUGCUUCAGCAGCCCGGGGUUCACAGAUUGGGAUCCUGGGCACAGACCUAGCCCCGCUUGUUAAGCCAUGCUGUGGCAGCGUCCCACAUAAAAUAGAGGAAGAUUGGCAACAGAUGUUAGCUCAGGACCAAUCAUCCUCACAAAGGAAAAAAAAAUUUCAAAAAAGUAUAUUUCUAAAAUAUUCAAAUUAUUCUUUGAAAUUAAAAAGCAAAAUACAAAUUAUGACUAAUAGAACAUUUUAAAUCAAAUUUGAAUUUAUUAAUUUUUUGAAAUUUUUAUUAAAUGUUAUUAAACAUUUUUGAAAGAAUAACACGAUUAGCGAUUCUAGUGUUCAAUGCCCAUCUAGCUGUAAUGAGAAGGAUCCAUGUGUGUUAUAUCUAAACUUAUAUAUACAAAUUUAAGAGUAAUAUGAGUUGCUCAAACAGUGCAAGAUAAACGUUCCUCAGCCGCCGUGGGCAUCACAUUGCAGAUAUUCCAUUAAUUCAUGAGAACCACUAAAACCAAGAGUUAGUAAGUGGAAAAAUAAAGUCCCAGAAAAUGGACCCUUGACCCCUCGUCUGAGGGUGGGACUGAGAGAAAUUGCAUACCUUCCCUGGGGCACCCAUUCUCAUGACUGUUUCCACGUGGCUGGUGUCCUCUUUGCACAGCUUUUUUUUGUUUUUUCACUUUUGUAGUUCAGUUUUAUUUUAGUUGUAGCUUUUUACAGCUUAAGUUUUGACUUUCUUGUAAUUACCUUUUCUAAGUUUUUUUUUGAGUUCAUAAUAGUUUACAUCAUUGUGGAAUUUCAGUUGUACAUUAUUUCUUUUCUGUCACCACAUAAGUGCUCCCUUCCACCCCCUGUGCCCCACCUCCCACACCCCUUCCCCUGGUAACCGCUG
rnacentral:lncRNA from 1 species